GAUGAACGCUGGCGGCGUGCCUAAUACAUGCAAGUCGAGCGAACAGACGAGGAGCUUGCUCCUCUGACGUUAGCGGCGGACGGGUGAGUAACACGUGGAUAACCUACCUAUAAGACUGGGAUAACUUCGGGAAACCGGAGCUAAUACCGGAUAACAUGAUGAACCGCAUGGUUCAACAGUGAAAGACGGUCUUGCUGUUACUUAUAGAUGGUACCGCGCCGCAUUAGCUAGUUGGGUAGGUAAAGGCUUACCAAGGCAACGAUGCGUAGCCGACCUGAGAGGGUGAUCGGACACGCUGGGACUGAGACACGGUCCAGACUCCUACGGGAGGCAGCAGUAGGGAAUCUUCCGCAAUGGGCGAAAGCCUGACGGAGCAACGCCGCGUGAGUGAAGAAGGUCUUCGGAUCGUAAAACUCUGUGAUUAGGGAAGAACAAAUUUGUAAGUAACUAUGCACGUCUUGACGGUACCUAAUCAGAAAGCCACGGCUAACUACGUG
rnacentral:rRNA from 1 species